AUCUCUCUCUCUCUCUCUCUCUACCUAUGCCUUCCUACUUAUGCCAGACAAGCAUCCCCCUUCCCAACAAACCAACAUUACUACUCUCCCUCUCUGUAAAUCUAUGGGUAUAAGCGUAAACGAGACAAACGCAACGCCUACCUUCUUUGAUCCAUGUCACGAGAAGAUGCGUCCUCCUCACUUUUUGUCUCUGCCAAUUCUGUGGGCUGUGCCUCUUUCUAUCCUUACAACUCCAAAACGCCCACCUUUUCACAUAAACUACUACUCUCUCUUCUUUCGCCCAAACCCUAGUCAAAAGUCAAAACAUUAAGUGCCGCCAGCACCUGCAAUUUCUCCAUCAAUGGAGACAUGGCGGAUAUUUCUAUGAUCUCUCUCCAAAUACAUUACGGCCCCACUCUCUCUCACUCAUCAAAGUCUUUCUUUUUCGAUGAUAAUUUUUGGCCACGGCCAUUCAAAUAUAAUGUAAACUUUUGACUGGAUAUUGGCCCAAUUUCCAUGUCUUUAGUGAUCAGAGCAUGGUAUUUAAGGACCACAGGAUGGACCGCAUAAGCUCUGGUAUUACAUUACCAGGGCACAUGUGGUGCACAUGGUGCAAUAAUUAUCAAAAGAAAUAGGUUUGUCCGCCUUAGGCUUUUCCUUCAAAGAGUAAAAAGUAAAUCUGCCUCAAAAUUUAAAACUUUGCUGGAAAAUACAGUUAUGAAGAAAUAUUUAUGCGACUUGAAAAUCUAUUUUUGCCUAUGAUUAUGACAUUUGAAGCUCUGAAAUCAUGCCAUGGCAAGUAUGUAGGCACUUGUAAAUGGAUGAGCUGGAUACUAUCUUCAAAGAUGUAUAAUCCAUUUUAAAUUGAGUUCAUAAUUGUCUAGGUCGAAAUGAUCAAUUUGAUGUAUUUAAGAUCUAAAAACAACAAUUCUGUAUGUCAUAAUUUUUUAAUCCACCGCUUACGCUAACUUUUUCCUUUUCAAGAAUGUUCAUGAGUGGUAUCUUAACGCAUUUUUGUAAGCUUUGACUUGUGUUUUAUAUUAUCAAGCAUCACCAUCAUCCUCAUAAGUGAAAAAAAGCUCUGAAAUUUUAGCUUUUUUCGUAGAAACAAAGUUUAUUAGUAUACCUUGAUAUAUCAGGCACAUGGCCAAAAUCCAGCUUUUGUGAAAAAAUAGGGCUUUCAAGGGACCCCUCGUCCUGAUCUUGGGGUUUGAAGUGGAGCCAAAGUUUUAAAGAAUUAAGGGACCAGGGCUUGCAAUUCAAACCUAUUUAUUUAUGUGCAAUUUGUUUUUAUUUAUUUAUGUGCAAUUUGUUUUUGACAAAUGUUAUAAUUUUUAUUAUUGUAAAAGAGAUUACAACACGCUUACAUCAUCCGAAAUCAAAAGCCAAGGUAAGUUGACACCCGUUUUAGCUGGAGAGUCUGCCAUGGAAUUUGCCUUCCUAUAUCAAAUAUUCAUCCCAAAUCAUACAAUCAUGUCUAAAAAUUUGUGUGAAAGUUACAAAGAACUCAGCUCUCAAGGAUGAUAUUUUAGGGUGGCUUAGUGAAAUUUGGAGCAUGCUUGAGUCAGGGGCUUGCUUGACUUACCAAAAUUUAUUCACUUGUGUGGUUAUUUAUCUACGGACGAAUUUAUAUUUAUGGCAUUACACGUGUUCAUUACAAACUUAAAUAUUUAAAUUUCAUAUUUAUUGAAUACUUUUUAUAUUUUUGUAUAAUUUUAUGAUUUAUUCUCCCUCUCUUGGGUCGUUUUUUUUCUUGAAUGAAAAUGGAGGUCUGAAGGUUACAUUAUGGUAUCUGGCGACCUAUGCUUGGAACCCGUUCUAGGUUUUGGUGUUUUACAAAGUGAUUUGAAAACUCAUGAUUAUCGAUUCGAGAAAUCGGUCGAGACCAGUUUCAGGAUGGAAUAAGUCACUGUCCUUUUAUAUUGUUCUCUUUUUCAAAGCUUAUAUAGGAUUUUUUAAGGUUUGUUUGAAGUCUUUAUUUUUUUUAAAUUUUGUUUAAUUUAUUUUUAAAUAUUUUUCUAGAUCAUUUAUCAGACCGAUCCAAAUGAGAUCCAAAUCAUCACUCCAAUAAUUCGACACAAAUUUGUGGGGUAAGCGAUCUACCCAACCGAUCCGAUUCCAAAACAUUGGUUUUACAAGUUCGUCAAACCCUGCAUCUUAUCAAGUUGGGUGACCUUUAGUGUAAAUGAAUAAUAAAUCAACUUUGAUCCCUAAAAAUUGAACAUUCCAAUAGGGUUGAGUUGCCUGUCUAGCUAAAACUUGAGCUUGAGCAAUCAUACAAGGUUUGAGGGCUAGUCUUGGGCUGGAGGAUCCAAUCUUGUUUUAUCGUUCCGGGUUGGUAUUGGGUGGUUAGGCCGGUACCGAUACCUUCUCAAAACUAUUGAGUCUGCCAAUUCUUUAUCCGAAUCCGAUGAUUUGGAUCUCGAUCAGUGAGUUUUAAAACACUGCCCUUGACCAGGCAUGCUAGGACAUGUUAGACCAAGGCUAUAUGCUACCAGUCCGGCCCUGCUUGGCUUGACCAAUUGCCAACCUUUGUAUGUUACUCCAUGGGCAAAAAACAUGAGUAGUGGAUUCUUUGCUUUAUAUUUUGGUACACACAUGGAACUUUCAUAACAUGCUUUUCUUCAUCUUUUGCCUUUCUUGGUCCCUGAGUUAUUCGAUGAUUUUAAAAAAGUGAAAAUUAAUGGUUUGAUGCUUCCCCCAAAUGGAAAGCCACGUUAUUAUUUGUUUUUAAUUUGUGAAGUUAGGAUAUGAAAGCAACAAGGCAGUGAUGUAUCUAUCUGACAAGCGUCUCAUAAUGUUAAAAACAAAGUGGGAAUGUCUCAAAUUAUUAUAAAUGGGCAAACCUCCGUACAAAAUAAUUAAGAUCAUUCUAUUUGAUAAUGGAAUGGUUACUUGUUUUAGUACAAUUAUUUUAGAUUGGACUGGUUAUUGGGAUUGGACUGGCUACCUAACAAGUGACGGGUCUUAUCUGAUCAAAAAAAUUGGUAUAAUUGAUUUGAUAAAAAAAAUUUUUAAAAAAUAAAAAAAUUGUUUAAAAAUAAAAAUCUAUUAGAAAAAAGUUUCUUGACAUUAUUUAACUAGUCAAAUUGGUAAAAACUGGACAGUUUGACAUGUCAAAGGCAAUUAAACAUGAUUUUUGACUGAUUUUCAAUCAAAUCAAAUUAUUACUUUAGAUUAGACUAGCUAAAACAUCAAUUGGCAAUUCGGCCAGUCGAAUCGGUUGGUCUGAACCAAUCUUGAUAGCUAUGUUUUUGAAUUCCACUUCACUCGGGUAUUUCCGCAAAAAAAAUUCCCCCUACUCAGGAUUAAGAACUUUGAACCGGAAAAGGCACUUUAUUAUUGAGCCUUAUUUACGAUGAUAACCUCGGUUGUUAAUAACAGGAAACUGCCAAGUAAUAAGUUGAGGGCUAGCAACAAAAAAUUCGCUUUUUUUUUUAUCAUAUAACCCAGGAUUCUAAUUUUCCAAUGGAACAAUUAGAGGGGUAUUCACGUCAUCUCUUUCGACCACUUUGAUUUGAUUUGCGCUAUAUUACCAAAAUACUCAUGCUUCCCUAGUCUUGGAUGGAGCAAUUUGGUCAUUUAUUAUUUAACACUAAACUCGAUGAUAGAGCAAUACAAAAAAAUUAUCAAAAUAAAUGAGCUUAGUAAUAAGAUCAUUUUUUUACAUAAUUUUAAUUUGGAGGAAUUUUGAGGCUCUUCUCAAUGCUUUUCCCUCUCAAUCAACUUGAUUUGGGGUCCUCAAACCGUUGUUUGGGAAACCGGUCUUGAUCGGCUAUUUUAUCAAUUCCCCCCCAAUGAGAAUCAAUCAAUUAAAAAUAUAAAAUUUGUAAAUAAUAGAAUUGAAAAAUGUGGAAAUCGGGCGAUACGGCACACAGUUCCCAAACAAAAGUUUUUGUUCACUAAGAGAAUUAGUCAGUUCCAUAUGAAUUGAACCCAUUCUUGAUUAGGGAACCAAUUUGAUUAUUAUCAGUUUUCGGUCUGAAUUGGGUGAUUCUGAUCACUAGUUUUUCAAACCCCAAAUAUAUGUAUAUGUGUGUAAUCCUUUUUUUUUUUUUUCCUCAUUAUUUUUAAGAAGGGCAAAUAUGGUUCAUAAACUUAUUUUCACAAAAAAAAAUCCACUAACAUGGAGGUUUUGGCCGAAAAUCUUUCCAAUUUCAACAAAAAUAUUUCAAAUGGUUUUGAGCUUAUCUUGGCCUUUCAAAUUUCAGAUACUUUCUUCUUAGUUAUUUUAUUGAGAAAUUAAACCCCGAUCCAUAUGAAAAAGCAUAUGUUCAUAAUUGUUUUAUCGUACAAAAGUUACUUCAGUAUUGUCUGUCCACGAUCGCCAUCCAAUCAAUUGAUGGAGAGACUAGAUCCACCCUUUUGGUUAAGGUGGACCUAUCCGGUGUCCCACUCGCUCUCCAUCACUGUCUAUUGGUAGUGAAUUAAAAAAAACCGGGUCGGCAUGGAAUCACCUAAUCCGAUUUAAGAAUAUGUCACUCCGUUCAAGUUUUAUGUAUAUAUAGGAAAAUGGGCAAAUCUAAAAAGGAACCAGUGAUUCCACAAAAUAAAACAAUGAUUUUAUACAAUAAAAUGACGAUCCAAAUGGCCGAUUCAUCGAAUCGAAACAGUUUUUGGCCCAGUCGCAGUUCUUUUUACCUGUUCACUGUUUAUCCGCACAGUAACAUGGCUAUCUAGAACAUCAAUUAUCGAUAUGAACUGGAUUUUGGGGUGUUAUAUCUGGGUCACAGAUCCGCUUUUUAAAUCAUCGGCAAUGACUAUAGCUUUUUUGCUUUUUUGUGAUUUAUAUUCAUAUAAUAUCAUAAAAUUAGAGCAUAAUUUGAAGUUUCUAGUUUUCAAUGACGUGGUUGCAUAAAUUGUUUUGCCAAGAUUUCAUUUCAUCUAGGUACCUCGCUUAAGGUACUGAAUUGGGUGAAUUGAACAUUUAUAUUUGGUGCAAGAGCUAACAGCUAGCUAGCAGUUGUAUUGAAAAUAUGAUACUUGAGGUGUUUUAAAAGGUUUGAUUGCUUUUUAUUUUUUAGAAUUUGAGCUUAAUGAAAAUUGCAGAUGAUCCCUUCGAUUUUCCAUCUAGUGAUUGAGUGUGAAGGUGGCAUUUUUAUGCCAAAGGUAAAUAGUCUCAUCGUCUAUCGAGAUCAUAUACAAUGACGACAUUUAUUUUUGGUACAAAGACGUGAAGAUUAUUUAAUCAUCUUAUAUGAAAUCUGAUAGUUCAGGUAUAUCACAAAGUUUUAGACUAUUUUUUUUUUUUAUAAAUGACCUUGUGAGACUUUUUUACAUCGUGUAUAAAAUCACCAUUAAAUUUAACACAGCUCUAUACCAAAUUUAAUAACGAUCCUUUAAAGUCCUACAUAUAUCUAAGAUCUCAUAAGAUCAUACAAAAUUUAAUGGUAAUCCUUUUAAAUUUUUAGACGUAUAUAGGGUUCGUUACUUUUUCUUUUGAACUUCGAACUUGAUCAAAGAAUAAACGCGACUUGGUUAGAAUAAAUGUGACCACCCGAUUUCACAUCAAGAAUCAACAGGACCACCUGAUACCAAAUCUUCAUGGAUCAUUUUGUAUUUGAAGAGUUUCUUGGACAUUGUUUGAGUCAUUUUCGAAUUUGCAGUUAUUAGAUUUUGCAGUGGGUAUAUGAACACAGCCGACUAUAAAAAAGUGUUUUAUCGGUUGGACAGUUGUAGCCCCCCUCUCUCUCUCUCUAACAUUUUCUCUCUCCAGUAAGCCCCUCUCUCUCUAACAUUUUUCUCGCCCGUGCGUUGCUUACUCUCUAUCUCUCUCUAACAUUUUCUCUCUCCAGUAAGCCUCUCUCGCUCUCUAACAUUUCCUCUCUCCAGUAAGCCUCUCUCGCUCUCUAACAUUUUUCUCGCCAGUGCAGUUGCUUACUCUCUAUCUCUCUCUUUAACAUUCUCUCUCCCCAGUAAGCCUCUCUCUCUAACAUUUUUAUCGCGAGUGCCGUUUCCGACUCUCUCUCUCUAAAAAAAAUCUUCGUUCUCACGAGUGGUGGCCAUUGCUCCAAGACGUUGGCGCUAUUUGAGGGGAUUUUUCACAUCUCUCUCUACAUUUGAUGGGGAUUUUUGGCACCUCUCUCUCUCUCUCUCCUAAGUUGCUAACACGCCUGUAAUCUCUGUUUACAUUGAUGCCUGUAAUCUCUGUUCACAUUGAUCUCCCUCGCUCUAAGCUGCUAAGACGCCUGUACUCUCUCUCUCUCUCUCUCUACUUCACUAAGUUCCUAGCACGCUAAGUCUCUGUUUAUACCAAGGAGUGUAAGGGCUAAGUUGCCCUUGUGACCUAAAUAGGCCAUGGAUGACAACAUGGAGUUUCAGGAGUGGGAGAUACUUCCUGAAUCUGAAUUGGGUCACCCCAAAAACUCUGAUUCCUCCGAGAAUCAAAGAAAUUCAGCAAUCGUGGAUGAAGACUCGGAAGGUAUGAUUAGACCCGAUUAUUUUGCAUAUGAUUCUGUGCACUUGAACAAAACCAACACAAAUGAAGAAAUUGCAGUUCCAGAUGAGUUGGGUUUCUCUGAUAUCGGUGUUUCCACAUGGGUCGAUCCUUGUUUGACCUCUAUUUAUGCGGCUAGGGAGGGAAAGUUCUCUGGUAUGAUGGGCUUUGGAAACGAGAAUUCGAACACCUCCGGGUCAGAGUCCGGCGAUUUCAAUGAGGGGAAAGAGGUAGAAGCCUUGGAUCCGGGUGGUUUAAUGGAAAUCAAAGGGGGGUUGGAUCCUGGCAAUAACUCAAAGGAAAGUGACCCAGAUUCAGUCAGUCUUUUGGGGCCUGAAAAUGGUUUGGGUUCAAGCUUUAGUCCAAACGAAAUUGGGCCUGAUUCAAUGAGUAUUCCAAAUAAUGAUGGUUCAGAAUUGGGCUCUGUAAUUGAAGAGAGGGAAAAAGAUGGUCUGAGUUCUAUCAAUUGUGGGUCAGAUUCCGGUGGGCCAGAGUAUGGGGGGAUUGGAGAAGUUGGUCGGAAUUUGGCAAGUGANN
rnacentral:lncRNA from 1 species